rnacentral:rRNA from 1 species
UACGGAGGGCACAAGCGUUGUUCGGAAUCACUGGGCGUAAAGGGCGUGUAGGCGGUCGGGCAAGUCGGAUGUGAAAGCCCUGGGCUCAACCCCGGAAUCGCAUCCGAAACUUCUCGGCUAGAGUCCCGGAGAGGAAGGCGGAAUUCCCAGUGUAGGGGUGAAAUCCGUAGAUAUUGGGAAGAAUACCAGAGGCGAAGGCGGCCUUCUGGACGGUGACUGACGCUGAGACGCGAAAGCGUGGGUAGCAAACAGG